AGUCUGCAACUCGACUACAUGAAGCUGGAAUCGCUAGUAAUCGCGAAUCAGAAUGUCGCGGUGAAUACGUUCCCGGGUCUUGUACACACCGCCCGUCACACCAUGGGAGUCGAUAACGCCCGAAGUCUGUGACCCAACCGAAAGGAGGGAGCAGCCGAAGGCGGGAUUGGUAACUGGGGUGAAGUCGUAACAAGGUAAC
rnacentral:rRNA from 1 species